UUUUUUGUCUUGAUCAUUAGUUAUAUUUUGUUGCACUUUGAAAAUCUUAUGGCUGGGUAUGGUUCCUCAUGCCUGUAAUCCCAGUACUUUGAGAGGCUGAGGAGGGAGGAUCACUUGAGCUCAGGAGUUCAAGACCAACGUGGGCAACAUAGUGAGACCUCAUGUCUACCAGAAAAAAAAUUAACAGGACAUGGUGGCCUGUUAGGCCACAUAAAUGUGCCUGUGGUCCCGUCUGCUUGGGAGGCUGAGGCAAAAGCUUCACCUGAGCCCAGGAGAUCAGGGCUACAGUGAGCUGUGAUCGUGCCACUCCACUCCAGUCUGGGUGAGAGAGACCCUGCUUUUUUUUUUUUUUAGAAGAAAGAAAAUCUUUAUUUUAAUUGUGUGCCAUAGAGACAUACUAUAGGGGCUCCCCCUUUGCUCUAUUGGAUGAAGGGCUGAUACCUCUUUCUUUUUUUUUUUUUAAUUAUACUUUAAGUUCUGGGAUAUAGGCAGAGGGGUCAGGGAGAGGAGAACUUUUAUGAGAUGAGAAUUCAAAAAUAGAUUGGACUAAGCUAUAGCUGAGUUGGGUUUUGGGUGACAAAUAGGAAUUUCCCACCAAGGGGGUGGUAAGGACCCCCAGAGAGAGUGAAGGGAACAUGUAAAGGCAUGAAAAUGACAAUAAGCUGUGUUUAUAGAACAACAUACAGUUUAUACAGCUGGAAUUUUAAUAACUAUUGCUGAAUGU
rnacentral:lncRNA from 1 species